rnacentral:lncRNA from 1 species
AUGGCAGCACGCACGAUGGGCAAGGACUUGGCAGUGGGUGGUGAAUCGUGGCGUGAGUACGGAUCGGAGGCGGAGGCGGAGGCGGUUGGUUGUCGGAGGAGAUCACACCAUAUUAUUGAAUGUGACGACGCCGAAUAUUGGCACCAUAUUAAAAUUGAAAGAUCGACGGCGUCGGGGACAUAUGGGAAGAGAGGGUACAUGUCAGAGGCAGCCAGCAGCAAGCAUGUGAUGGAGAACACCGGCUACGAAGAACGUGAAUUGAUUCCAAAGCAUCUAGCACAGAAGAAUAAAUAAAGGGUCCUCC